GGGAUCAAACCCAGGUUUCUGGCAUCACAGAUUCUUUACCAUCUGAGCCACCAGGGAGGUCCCUGACUACCACCUAAAAAAAUUAGCAUCCUGCCAGGUGAUAACAUGUGCUCCUGGGUGUUGCUCGAGUGGAUUCAUGACCUGCCAUUUUGGGCCAUGAGGCCAGCGCCCUUUCCUGCAGCCUCUCCAUCUCUGCGGGUGUCCAGAGCACACAGCACCUCCUGGACCUUGUGCUCGGCACUCCCUUGCAGGUGGUCUAUCCGCUUUUCUCUGGUGACCUGGGUGAGCCCAGCCCCGCCUCACUUCAAAGCUGUUGCUGCCCCUCUGGGCAGCUCCAGUUUCUUCCUUCAGGAUUCUGGACCUGCUUGUCUCCCACUCUUGGCUCUUUCUUGCCCCUUUCCUGGUUCCUUCCUCCCUCCAGCCUCUGGAUUCUUAGUCCGGUUCUCAGGGACUGUCUGUCUCCCGGCUCCUCAAGUCAUUCUGCCUUCUGCUUGCAAGUUCCCCCCAUCUCCCUCUUCCUGGGAUGCUUCUGCUCAUCCCUAAAGUCCCAACUGGGCCCCUCCCCACCUCAUCCUCGGGAGUCCUCCCAGCCUUCAUCCCAAAUUCCGUACCACUCCCUGGACUCUCCCUGUCAUGAUUUACAUCAUGCUGACUCUUUCUUUUCUGUUUGGAAAGUAACGCUCUUAAUUGUGCUGCUUGCCGAGUUUCCCGUGAUGACACUGAAUUUUAAUUUCACGGCGGUUUGUCUCUCAACCUAGGCAAAAUCCACGGGCACUUUCCUCACUCUGUGCUCUCAAAACAACCUCCAGAGGGUGGGGAGGGGAGUGCUGCCUGGUCCUACACCAGCUUGAUGAUCUCAGACUGGCUCAGUCUCAGGCCAGCACCAGAGGCCCUUCUGGAAGCUCUCCGGGGGCUUCUCCCAUUGUUCAGGGCUUGACUUUACCUGGGGUGGGGGGCCAUCUAGCUCUUACACCUUACUCUCAAUGGGCUCUGCUUUCCUUGCUGCCCCAAUCUCUAUAGGGGCCACACUCUCUGCAGGCUGACCUCAGCCUUUGGACACUGAGGGGCUCUGAGGGUGAGUAUCUGUGCAGGCCAGCCUGUCUGCUUCAGCACCGUCUCACCAGCCAUCAGCAGAAUGUGGUCCCUCUAAAGAGAUCACCCUGUGUCGAGGGGGCGGGGUGGAUAGACCGUCCUUUCAGCAGCCACAUGGACCUGACACCACGACAGGGCAUGUUUGCUCAGGUGCAGCCAACGAGGGUUCCAAGAGCGUCACAUUUUCAGCCAGUCUCUCCUGCAGGCAUCAAGUGCCCCUGUCCGAAGGCUCCCUGAGCAUCUUCUAGGAAUUAAAGCUGCGUCUCCUUCUGUUUUCUGAAUCGGGGUGAAGAUACCACCCCCUGUUGAGAACACCGAACUUCAUGCAUCAGCCCCUUCCAUACUCACGUACUCAGCCUGCCCGGAUGGCAUUGGCUCUUCCCGGGCACGUACGACACGGUUGACUCAGUUUGGCACCAGAUCCACCCACACCUGUAAAGUAUCUGCCUGUGGAUGAUGCUCACAUCUUACUGGGCGCCCUUUCCCCAGACUUCAGGUGCCACCUUCUGCACUGACUGGAGGAUGAUGCUGCAGGUGCCCACCGCAUGGGGGAGACCCCACUGAAGUUCAGGCGUGCAAAGGAUGGACACCGGGUCUGGGGAGCCUAUUGAAACAGAAGAAGAAGCCCUAGAGACCAGCUGAUAGGAAAUCAGGGAGGAGACACUUGGAGAUGAUGCAAAUAUGCUAUUUCUCAUGAACCCUCCUCGUAGACUGACCGCAAGAGAGUCCCAGCAGAAGAAUCUCACCUGCUCCAGGCUUCACCUGUCAAGCAUUUCUACUUUCUGCUCUUCUCCAGGAAUCUCACAAGGGCUGUGAACUCAGGAGGAUGCCAUCAUUAAAAAAAAAAAAGAAAAGAAAAAGAAAACAAUGUUUGUCCUUUUGAGGGUUAACUUCUUAGAAGUUUUCCUGACAUUGAUACACGUCCUGAUGUAAUACCCGGCAGAAAAGACCAGGUUCUGGCGCAGGCUGAUUUGCUUGGAUCAUCUGAAGGUGACUGUGGUCCUUCAUGAUUGAGGCUCUUUGUAUAUUUGCUAAAAGCUCUGGUUAAAUUUCCAAGAAUUUGCACACAUCAUGUACUGAUAACUUUCAUACAACCCCAGUGAUGUCCCUUCCCUAAAGCUGGUCCAUGGCCCCACUCUGAGGACCCUGCCUGGAGGAUUCCCCCAGCCUGGUACUCUUGUCAUAGUUUGAAGAUCUGCAGGUGUGGGUGGAGAACUAUAGAAUUCUCAGUCUCUUCCCUACAGGGUUGCUGCUUCCUUAAAGGACAUUCCCCACCAGCUGCUCAUCUUCUACGUACUCGACGCGUGAUGCUUUUUUUGAUGAGGCCAUUGAAGUGGUUAUUUGUGGUCUUUUCAUUAAAUGCAUCAGAAAAGCCAGAAUUUGUAUUACCCCCAUGAGGACUGUCUCAGGAAGGCUUUGAGCUGCAGGUAGCGGAAGCCCAACCAACAGUGGCCUGAACAAGCAAAGGUGUCUUUUUCUCCUACAACAAGGAGCUUGAAGGCAGGCACCUGCCCGGGGUGUCUCAGUCGCCCUGCCAAUUCAGCAUGGCAGCUGUCACCCUCGUGGCUGCCCCAUCACGGUGCCGUAGCGGCCAGGGCAGCCCCCAGAAGCAGGUCUGUGUUCCGGGCAGGAAAAGACACAUAGAGGAAGCAGUUUCAGCUGCAAGACAGCAUCCGUUUCCCCACACGCCCCAUCUCAUUGCCACCCCAAGUUAGCUUCCCUGGCAUCAGCGGUGACGGAUAUCAAGGGGAGGGGCUCUGGGUGCAGCGUUGAGUUUCUCUAUCUCUGGCACCUGCCAGCUCACGAUCUUCAUGAAUGACUCCUGCCUCCACACCCACCCGUGAGAUGAACACAGAAGACAGCGGCUUGAGUUGUCCUCACAACUAUGGAUACUGUUAAUAGGGACCAAGACAGGGUCCUAGACAUCCAAUACUCUCACCACCCCUUCACCCAGCUCCACUCCUGAUGUCCAAACUGCAGCUAUGGCUGCAACAUACUUUUUAAAAGUCUGAUCCUUUAAAACUCCCAUCCUGGGGACUUCCCUGGUGGUCCAGUGAUUAAGAA